AACGAACGCUGGCGGCAGGCUUAACACAUGCAAGUCGAACGCCCCGCAAGGGGAGUGGCAGACGGGUGUGUAACGCGUGGGAACAUACCCUUUUCUACGGAAUAGCGCUGGGAAACUGGAAUUAAUACCGUAUACGCCCUACGAGGGAAAGAUUUAUCGGGGAAGGAUUGGCCCGCGUUGGAUUAGCCUGUUGGUGGGGUAAGGGCCUACCAAGGCGACGAUCCAUAGCUGGUCUGAGAGGAUGAUCAGCCACAUUGGGGCUGAGACACGGCCCAAACUCCUACGGGAGGCAGCAGUGGGGAAUAUUGGACAAUGGGCGCAAGCCUGAUCCAGCCAUGCCGGGUGAGUGAUGAAGGCCUUAGGGUUGUAAAGCUCUUUCACCGAUGAAGAUAAUGACGGUAGUCGGAGAAGAAGCCCCGGCUAACUUCGUG
rnacentral:rRNA from 1 species